rnacentral:rRNA from 1 species
CCAGACUCCUACGGGAGGCAGCAGUGGGGGAUAUUGCACAAUGGGCGAAAGCCUGAUGCAGCGACGCCGCGUGAGGGAAGACGGUCUUCGGAUUGUAAACCUCUGUCUUUGGGGAAGAAGAUGACGGUACCCAAAGAGGAAGCUCCGGCUAACUACGUGCCAGCAGCCGCGGUAAUACGUAGGGAGCGAGCGUUGUCCGGAAUUACUGGGUGUAAAGGGAGCGUAGGCGGGGAUGCAAGUUGGAUGUUUAAACUAUCGGCUCAACCGGUAAUUGCAACCAAAACUGCAACUCUUGAGUGAAGUAGAGGCAGGCGGAAUUCCUAGUGUAGCGGUGAAAUGCGUAGAUAUUAGGAGGAACACCAGUGGCGAAGGCGGCCUGCUGGGCUUUAACUGACGCUGAGGCUCGAAAGCGUGGGGAGCAAACAGGAUUAGAUACCCCAGUA